rnacentral:rRNA from 1 species
ACAUGCUUACAACAUAGUGUUAAAGCAACAUAUCUCAUUAGAACUCUGCAUUUAAGCAUGCUCGGGAUAGAGUAGUACUAGGAUGGGUCACCACCCAGGAAGUAUUAGUAUUUUACAUGCC